rnacentral:rRNA from 1 species
CCUACGGGAGGCAGCAGUGGGGAAUAUUGCACAAUGGGGGGAACCCUGAUGCAGCGACGCCGCGUGAGUGAAGAAGUAUUUCGGUAUGUAAAGCUCUAUCAGCAGGGAAGAAAAUGACGGUACCUGUCUAAGAAGCCCCGGCUAACUACGUGCCAGGAGCCGGGGUUAUACGUGGGGGGCAAGCGUUAUUCGGAUUUACUGGGGGUAAAGGGAGCGCAGGCGGCUGUGCAAGUCUGGAGUGAAAGGCGCGGGCCCAACCCCCGGACUGCUCUGGAAACUGUAGAGCUGGAGUGCAGGAGAGGUAAGCGGAAGUCGUAGUGUAGCGGUGAAAUGCGUAGAUAUUAGGAGGAACACCAGUGGCGAAGGCAGCUUACUGGACUGCAACUGACGUUGAGGCUCGAAAGCGUGGGGAGCAAACAGGAUUAGAUACCCGUGUAGUC